AAAGAUAAACUUGCUCCUGGUGAGGGUGAGGCUCUGGCCAGGCUCCUGCUGCUCAAUGACAUCAGUGAUAGCAGAGCAGGCAGGGAAGGGGUCCCCAUCAUUCACUUGCAACUGCACCCCAGCCCCAGAGCCCACCUGCAGGGGGUUCUCUGCUGACAGUCUCAGGGCGUAUCUACCCGCCUCAUUAAACCCCACGCUCAAAACUUCGAACUCCAGAUCCAGCGUCUUCUCCUCGGCCUUCAGCCUCUGUCUCAGCAGGGAUGCA
rnacentral:lncRNA from 1 species